rnacentral:rRNA from 1 species
GGUGAACGCUGGCGGCGUGCCUAAGACAUGCAAGUCGAGCGGGGCAGGUUUAUACCUGUUCAGCGGCGGACGGGUGAGUAACGCGUGGGUGACCUACCCGGAAGAGGCUGACAACCUGGGGAAACCCAGGCUAAUCGGCCAUGUGGUCCUGUCCUGUGGGGCAGGACUAAAGGGUGGAUAGCCCGCUUCCGGAUGGGCCCGCGUCCGAUCAGCUAGUUGGUGGGGUAAAGGCCGACCAAGGCGACGACGGGUAGCCGGUCUGAGCGGAUGGGCGGGCACAGGGGCACUGAGACACGGAGCGAACUCCUACGGGAGGCAGCAGUGAGGAAGCUGCCGCAAUGGGCGCAAGCCUGACGGAGCGACGCCGCUUGGAGGAGGAAGCCCUUCGGGGUGUAAACUCCUGAACUGGGGACGAAAGCACCGUGUAGGGGGAGGACGGUACCCAGGUAAUAGCGCCGGCUAACUCCGUG